rnacentral:rRNA from 1 species
CCUACGGGAGGCAGCAGUGAGGAAUAUUGGUCAAUGGACGAGAGUCUGAACCAGCCAAGUAGCGUGAAGGAUGACUGCCCUAUGGGUUGUAAACUUCUUUUAUAUGGGAAUAAAGUGUUCCACGUGUGGGCUUUUGUAUGUACCAUAUGAAUAAGGAUCGGCUAACUCCGUGCCAGCAGCCGCGGUAAUACGGAGGAUCCGAGCGUUAUCCGGAUUUAUUGGGUUUAAAGGGAGCGUAGGUGGAUUGUUAAGUCAGUUGUGAAAGUUUGCGGCUCAACCGUAAAAUUGCAGUUGAAACUGGCAGUCUUGAGUACAGUAGAGGUGGGCGGAAUUCGUGGUGUAGCGGUGAAAUGCUUAGAUAUCACGAAGAACUCCGAUUGCGAAGGCAGCUCACUGGACUGCAACUGACACUGAGGCUCGAAAGUGUGGGUAUCAAACAGGAUUAGAUACCCUUGUAGUC